rfam:Plasmodiophora brassicae isolate e3 genome assembly, contig: scaffold_6
GCCGCCUUGGCCAAGUUGGUAAGGCGUUCCCUUAGUAAGGGAAAGAUCGUGUGUUCGAAUCCCACAGGUGGCA